UGGAUCCAGACUUUGAUUAUGGCUCAGGAUGAACGCUAGCUACAGGCUUAACACAUGCAAGUCGAGGGGAAACGACAUCGAAAGCUUGCUUUUGAUGGGCGUCGACCGGCGCACGGGUGAGUAACGCGUAUCCAACCUGCCCAUCACUUGGGAAUAACCUUGCGAAAGUAAGACUAAUGCCCAAUGAUAUCCCACGAAGACAUCUGAAUGGGAUUAAAGAUUUAUCGGUGAUGGAUGGGGAUGCGUCUGAUUAGCUUGUUGGCGGGGUAACGGCCCACCAAGGCAACGAUCAGUAGGGGUUCUGAGAGGAAGGUCCCCCACAUUGGAACUGAGACACGGUCCAAACUCCUACGGGAGGCAGCAGUGAGGAAUAUUGGUCAAUGGGCGAGAGCCUGAACCAGCCAAGUAGCGUGCAGGAAGACGGCCCUAUGGGUUGUAAACUGCUUUUAUAAGGGAAUAAAGUGAGUCUCGUGAGACUUUUUGCAUGUACCUUAUGAAUAAGGACCGGCUAAUUCCGUGCCAGCAGCCGCGGUAAUACGGAAGGUCCGGGCGUUAUCCGGAUUUAUUGGGUUUAAAGGGAGCGUAGGCCGGAGAUUAAGCGUGUUGUGAAAUGUAGUGGCUCAACCUCUGCACUGCAGCGCGAACUGGUCUUCUUGAGUACGCACAACGUGGGCGGAAUUCGUGGUGUAGCGGUGAAAUGCUUAGACAUCACGAAGAACUCCGAUUGCGAAGGCAGCUCACGGGAGCGCAACUGACGCUGAAGCUCGAAAGUGCGGGUAUCGAACAGGAUUAGAUACCCUGGUAGUCCGCACGGUAAACGAUGGAUGCCCGCUGUUGGCCUGAAUAGGUCAGCGGCCAAGCGAAAGCAUUAAGCAUCCCACCUGGGGAGUACGCCGGCAACGGUGCAACUCAAAGGAAUUGACGGA
rnacentral:rRNA from 2 species